rnacentral:rRNA from 1 species
GACGAACGCUGGCGGCGUGCUUAACACAUGCAAGUCGAACGGAAAGGCCCUGCUUUUGUGGGGUGCUCGAGUGGCGAACGGGUGAGUAACACGUGAGUAACCUGCCCUUGACUUUGGGAUAACUUCAGGAAACUGGGGCUAAUACCGGAUAGGAGCUCCUGCUGCAUGGUGGGGGUUGGAAAGUUUCGGCGGUUGGGGAUGGACUCGCGGCUUAUCAGCUUGUUGGUGGGGUAGUGGCUUACCAAGGCUUUGACGGGUAGUCGGCCUGAGAGGGUGACCGGCGACAUUGGGACUGAGAUACGGCCCAGUGUGCUACGGGAGGCAGCAGUGGGGAAUAUUGCACAGUGGGCGGAAGCCUGAUGCAGCAACGCCGCGUGCGGGAUGACGGCCUUCGGGUUGUAAACCGCUGUCGCCUGUGACGAAGCGUGAGUGACGGUAAUGGGUAAAGAAGCACCGGCUAACUACGUG